rnacentral:rRNA from 1 species
ACGCACGCUGGCGGCGUGCUUAACACAUGCAAGUCGAACGGAAAGGCCCUGCUUUUGUGGGGUGCUCGAGUGGCGAACGGAUGAGUAACACGUGAGUAACCUGCCCUUGACUUUGGGAUAACUUCAGGAAACUGGGGCUAAUACCGGAUAGGAGCUCCUGCUGCAUGGUGGGGGUUGGAAAGUUUCGGCGGUUGGGGAUGGACUCGCGGCUUAUCAGCUUGUUGGUGGGGUAGUGGCUUACCAAGGCUUUGACGGGUAGCCGGCCUGAGAGGGUGACCGGCCACAUUGGGACUGAGAUACGGCCCAGACUCCUACGGGAGGCAGCAGUGGGGAAUAUUGCACAAUGGGCGGAAGCCUGAUGCAGCAACGCCGCGUGCGGGAUGACGGCCUUCGGGUUGUAAACCGCUUUCGCCUGUGACGAAGCGUGAGUGACGGUAAUGGGUAAAGAAGCACCGGCUAACUACGUG